rnacentral:lncRNA from 1 species
GAUUCCACAACAACUGAUAUUCAAGAUGUUGCCAGCACAAUUGACUUGGAGGUCACUGAGGCUCAAAAGAUGCUCCAGCUUGCCGCUGCUCAGAGGAUGAACACUGAUGCAAGAAGGGCAAUAUUCUGCGUAAUAAUGAGUGGGGAGGACUAUGUUGAUGCAUUUGAGAAACUUCUAAGAUUGGAUUUGUCAGGCAAGCAGGUUGGCACCCCUUGAAUAAUGAGUGGGGAGGACUAUAUUGAUGCAUUUGAGAAACUUCUAAGAUUGGAUUUGUCAGGCAAGCAGGUUGGCACCCCUUGGUUGAAUUCCCUGUAAUUUAUUGUUGUGCUUGUCUAUCAGAAAUGCCUCUUUACCUCACACUAGGUAGGGGUAAGGUCUGCGUACACUGUACCAUCCCCAAACUCCACUUGUGGAAUCACAUUGGCUUUGUUGUUGUUGUUUUUGUUGUUUUUGUUGUGCUUCAGUUGUGC